GAUGAACGCUAGCGGCAGGCUUAACACAUGCAAGUCGAGGGGUAUUUCUCUUCGGAUAGAGAGACCGGCGUACGGGUGCGUAACGCGUAUGCAAUCUACCUUUUACAGAGGGAUAGCCCAGAGAAAUUUGGAUUAAUACCUCAUAGUAUAUAGACUCGGCAUCGAGAUUAUAUUAAAGUCACAACGGUCAAAGAUGAGCAUGCGUCCCAUUAGCUAGUUGGUAAGGUAACGGCUUACCAAGGCUACGAUGGGUAGGGGUCCUGAGAGGGAGAUCCCCCACACUGGUACUGAGACACGGACCAGACUCCUACGGGAGGCAGCAGUGAGGAAUAUUGGACAAUGGGCGCAAGCCUGAUCCAGCCAUGCCGCGUGCAGGAUGACGGUCCUAUGGAUUGUAAACUGCUUUUAUACGAGAAGAAACACUGCUACGUGUAGCAGCUUGACGGUAUCGUAAGAAUAAGGAUCGGCUAACUCCGUG
rnacentral:rRNA from 1 species